GCCAUCAUGGGGGUAAUUCUUAUUCCUGGGCUACCAUACGGUCUCAAAGGCAACGUAACCAAACUGAAAAAUGUAACAUGCUAUAUUUGACCCUGUAACGUCCCAAAACACCAUAAAAUCUGUACAUAGGGGGUACUGUUUUACACGUGAGACAUCGCUUAAAACAAAUAUGUGUAUUUUAUUGCAGUAAAAGCACACAGUAUUAUGACAUUCACAGUUAGAAUGUCACGUAGAACUACAUUUUUUUUUAAAAUAAAUCUUAUUUUUUUCCCAUUUUUUUAUAUUUUAUUCAUAUUAAAUUAUGUUUCAUACCUAAAUAUUUGAUGUUAAAUUAAAGCCCUGUUUCCCUGAAUAAAAUGAUGUAUAAUAAGUGUGGGUGCACAUAAUAUGAAAAAGGCGAACAGACAUAUAGCGCAAAUUAAAGUUUUUGUUUAUGUUUUGAUCACAACCUGUACAUUUAGCUCAGUCCAUAAAGGGGUUAAGGACGCAGCUUCAAAAACUGUACUUACCCUUAAAGACACAAGCCUUUUUUGCUGUUUGUGUUCAAACGCAAUUUGCAUCUCUGUCUUCUAUUGAGCCAACACAUAUUAUAUACUGUUUUUUAGAGGGCAAAAGUGACUUUAAUUUGAUGUGACAUAUACAUAGAAACAUUCUCUUUAAUUCUAAAACAAAUGCCAAAAAAUGGGGAAAAACUUUUUUUUAACGGUUUUGGCAAUAAUAGCGUGUGCAUAAUAUGUCCAGCUUAGGAAAUGCAAUUCAAAAUAAAUUCAUUUAUGGGUCUUGAUUUAUAUAGUACAUCAUAUGUAUAGGAUUCCAGCUUAUUUUGAA